CCAUUGGCCGGCUCCCGGCACCGCCCUCCCUUCCCAUUGGCUCCGCCGUUGCUAUGGUUACCCGUUGCCCCGGAGACAGAGCCCCGCCUCUCCUCCACCCCCCUACCAUCCCCGGGCCCUGAUUGGCCGCGUGCCGCCACGUGAGGCGCGCUGAUUGGCUGAGCCGCUCGCCAGGUGCGCCGAGGGGGUGUGGGCGGUCACGUGGCGGCAGCGCGGCGCAGCGGGCAGCAUGAAGCACUACGAGGUGGAGAUCCUGGACGCCCGCACCAGGGAGAAGCUCUGCUUCCUCGACAAGGUGGAGCCCAGGCGACGAUCGCGGAGAUCAAAAAUCUGUUCACCAAAACGCACCCCCAGUGGG